rnacentral:lncRNA from 1 species
AAGAAGGAGAAGAAGUGCACCUGUGCUCGGUGUCGUCGCUGUCGCGUCUCCGUCGUCGUCUCCGGCAGGUAACACACCUAAUCCUUAUGCUCUGGCUUUGAUCCGCCUAUCACGGCAUUGUAUCGGGUUAGGGAGAUCGAAGCCCUAACCUGUUAGUGUUUGAUUGUGAUUGUACCGAAUUUAAUUGUUGAUGAGGUAGCUUAGGGUUCGUGCGUGUUUGCUCGCGAACUACGGGCUACGGAAGCUCUGAUUUCUCACUUCAACAAGUGGCCAUACGUAGGCACAAGGAUCCAUUCCUUGGCGAGCAAACUAAUUUAAAAUCUAUCUCCACUCCGUAUAUCUUUUGCAAGCAAACAUUCGAUAAAUAACAUACACGUAAGCGCAAGCAUCCUAGAUGGUUCACAUGGAGUACCAUGGAUGUGAGGGGUGCUAAUACAUUCCCCUUGCAUAACCGACUUCCGAACCUGUUCGUGGUUGCGACGACCACUCUUUGGGAUUUUCUCGAUAUUUUCCCUUUCCCUUGGAAUAAAUAAAAACCGAUGGCGACUCUGUAUUUUUCGCGUAACGACAACACCCUACGUGGUUUUAUUUUAUAUUUAAUUUACACGAUAAAUUAUGUGUGGGGAUUAGGGUGUUACAAAACCCACCGUUUAAAAAAAUCUUCGUAUCUGAGUCCAUACCCGCGUGGGCACCACCUAAGUACCCAUAUUCAUACUCAUUUACUUGCAUUUCUAAUAGAAAAAUGAUUGGUCAAUUAUAAUUUAUCAUUCAUUUUAAUUUUUUUAACAUUUAUAAAAAUUUGAGAAUGUUAUUGAUGAGUUAAAAAAUAAACAAAUAUUUAUAUUAAAAUGCGUAAAAAUUUAAUAGUGAUAUAUUUAAUAAAUUUGUUAGAUUAAUAUAUAUACAUAAUAAUGAAAAUAAAUAUAUAUAAAUAUAUAUAGUGCGGGUAUGGAACGGACUGAGUACUAAAAUACCUAUACUAACACUCAUACCCACUUAUUUUAGUGGAUAAUUAUCCGUGCUCAUAUCCAUUUUAUGGGAUUUUACCCUAUCCAUUAUAGGUAAAUUUUACGGAUACCGACGGCCAAUUAUAAUUAAAUUGACUGGAUCUCAAUUUUCAUUAGAAGUGUUCUCUUUCUACUCUUUCGCAUCAUUCUUUUAUCUCUUUGACAAAUCAGUUACACAUGAUGGGAUGAUGAUAACUGCUGAUAUCCUUGAAAUAUUAUUUAGAGAACAUUUCUUCACCCUCAACAUUAUCUCAGAUGUAUACAUUUAUUUAAAAGAAGAAAAAAAAAACAUGUUAAAGUGAACUUUCAGAUAAAAUAUGUCGUAAAAGUAUAUACUUCUAAAACAUUUGUAAUUUUUUUUAAGAGUUAGAAUCAUUCACAUGAACUUGUAUCCGAUGCCAUGAAGUGUUUAAUAUCCCUCUCAAGUUCCAAACGUCUUCAACUUUUUCGGGUUGAACAUUUCCUGCUGAAUCUACCUGCAAAACCAGUCCAAGGAAUUCAAUAGACAUUAUAGGAGAUUGUUUCUUACUCUUAUAUGGUGUUUCUUACACUGAUAUUCAAUGAAAAUCUACUAACGGUUUUUUCAGCCAUGAUUUGAACCAAAGACAAAAAGUUAGAAACAUGAAACUUAGCAGAAGAAACAUCAUAUACCGCUUUUGCGAUAAUCUCCGUGCUUUGUUGAAUUUCAGCUGUGACCUCAAAUAGCACCCAAGCCCAUUUGUCACAGUUUCCAUCAUCAUCUGCUGUGUAAGGAAUGUCACUUUUUUGAAACCUCGACGCUUCCAUCCAAGUUUUCCCUCCAUCAACGGACACAUCCACUCUUUCAAUGCCUCUGCCACCACCUGAUGCUGCAUAUCCACUAAUACUCACCUGAAGUUCAGGAAUCAUGUUAGAAUUAGGAUUUAAGUUCGUUUCUAAUGGACUAAACAUUAAGGCAUAAACUAACCUUUCCCGGUGUUAUCGUGGUCGUGUCUUCUAGAGAACAUAUAACACACUGCCAAAGUGAAAUCAAAAGCAUUAGUUACAAAAAUAUUUAGGUUAAAGACCUCAUGAGGGAAAUACCUGAACAGGGAAAUCCAUUUGAGGUCGCCUCGAUGACCAAUUGAUAUUUUCCCAAUUUACAGACGGAGGAAACAUUUUGUAGUCUUUUUGCACGAAAAAGCCCUGACACAUGAUAAUGUUACGGUUGGUUCCGGUACAUAGUGAAAAUAAAUUGUAAAAGAUAUUUCAGAACUAUUUUACUUCAUUACACAUCAUACCUGGCAUUCUUCUGCUAUGAUAUUGAUAGCUUCCAGCCAUUUAACAGACCGGGCUCCAAUGACACCCGGAACAACCACGCGUAAUGGAAAACCAUGAUCCCUGUUAAGAGGCUAAGGGAAAGGAACAAGAUGUUAAACUGAAAUUAGAAACUUUUUCUUAUAAUCAAGUCCAGACGGAGUAUUCACUUACUUCUCCAUUCAUCUCAUAAGCAAGUAAAACAUCUGCUUCAGGAUUUGUAGCCUGGCUGAGUGUAAUUGAUGCCUUGUAUGGUCCUCCAUUUUCCUCCUUACACUGAUCAAUGCUUACAAAUUCAACAUAUUUUCCUCCAUAUUUAGUUGUAUUCGUCAACUUCGGUAUUCCAACAAGUUCAAGAACAUCAGUCAAUUUGGCACCACCCCAAACCGCUGGAGAAAAAUUUAAUCAAACACCAAUUAAAGGUAAACGUGUUAGAAGUUAAAUUUUCAGCUCUCAAUUUUUUUCACAUAUUUGAACAGAAAAAUACAAACAAGUAAACAAUAUAAUUGUAAUAUAUUGUAUAAAACACAAUAGAAAUACUAAUGCUGACAAAAUUCAGAUAGAAAAACUUCAAGAGUAAUAGAGUUCUAAACUACAGUCCACAGUGCAUCACAACGGCAAUCGUGGCCAUUUGACCGCAACAUGUAGGUCUGCAGUUUAACUUUAACUGCAGCUGCAAUUUUAAACCAUGCCAAGAAUAAUGAAAAUUUAUGCAAUCAUUCACAAUUUCACAUGCUGUUGAAAGAAUCAAACCCCAAAAUGUAUAAAUACUAACCAUUCCCAAUAGCAGAAACACCCCAUCCAACACCCUUAACUGUUUUAGUUUUGCUCAUAGCAGUCCUUCUAUUUCCUGCACACUGAAAACACCACAGAGAAAGAAAAAUCAAAUUCAAUUUCUGGAUGCAACACAUAUAAAACCAAAACCAUGUGGUUCUUCCAUGCAACCCUAUAUCAUAUCUGAUAAAUAAUUAGUAUAUGGACUUAUAUUUAACCAACCUGUAGUGUGGAAGUGACAUUGUACUUGGGAAGUUUCCUGUUAUAAUCAAAUAACAAUGUAUAAACACUAGUUAUUGGAGAACACAUAUAGGAAUCAAAUUGAAAUAUUAGUCUGGAGAACCAAUGGUUGCCGAUAUUUAUAUUAUUUUUAAUAAUCUGAGAUUCCUAAACAAGCACCAACCUGAUAUCUUCCAUAAAAAGCUGUUUGGGAUUUUCUAUCAAGCCAGAUAUGGAUACACUAUAUCUGCUCUGCCAAACAUGUCAUGAAAAAAAAGAGGUUACAAUUCAUUCACAGUAAACAACUUUGACCAAAGAAGUAUUAUAAUUUCACAAGAUUAAUAUAUCACUUUUCUAUGUCAUCGACUAUCGGUAUCGGGCCAUGAUUUCUCUUGUAGAACAAAUCUGCAGGAGUCAAAUAGGAUGAAAUCAAGGCAGAACGUUGUGGCUCAGCAUUGAAAGGUUCCUGAGAAGCAACAUAAAUUAGAAUGUAUAUAUUCUAUGGUAGAACAAAUUUGGCAACAAAAUAAAAAGGAAAUAAUGAAAAGGGAAUUUGAGGUUACCUUGGAGUUAAUUUGAAGAGAGUUGUGGCGAAUAGGUUCUUUGGAAUAAUCUGAAGGGCCUGUGAUUCCUGGCAUUGUUGUCAGAAAGAAAUCAAUUCAAGGUUUGGUUUGAAGAUGGUGGUAAUAAUAACAACCACAGCUUCCAAUUUCUACAUGAAAUUUAUAACACGCACCAUUAGUGCAGGAUGAUAAUGGUGGGUCCCAUUUAGACAUAUAUGAUGGACACGUGGAACACUUGCAUUAUGCUGACAUGUUAUUUGGCAUUUUUCGUUAACCACUUUCAUUCCUUACCAUUGGUUUGUGAUUGUUUUGUCUGUUUCUUCACUUACCCUGCUAUCUUUUUCCUUUUCUUAUUAGUCUUUAAUUUGGUACUACUAGUAUUGAUUUAUUAAUUGAUUAACUUGUAUCCCUCAGAAAAAGCAAACAACCUUGUAUCUCACCGGUUUUGUUGUGUUUGUUCACUUAGUUGUUUUAAGAAUCUCGUACCUGACUGCUUUUUUGUCUAUGUUCGUUUUCUUUCCCUUUUGAAAAAGAAUGAGUUUAUUAGGAUUGCACUUUUAGUGUAAGCCAACUUUACACAAGUGUCCAAUGAAAAUUCAUCAUUUUAAUGACAUCCAAUGACUAAAUUUCAUAAUUUGAAACUUUUAUUAAAAAAUAUUAAUUAUAAUAUUAAAUUUAUUUUUCAAUUCACUUGAAUUAAUUGAUGUUCAACUCACUUUUAAAUCAAAUCAUUUUUAUAAAAUUGAUUAAUUCAUAAUCAAUUUCACCAGACGUAAAUCCAAACACCCUUGAUAACUUAACAUGGAAAGCCCUUUUGUUAAGUUUAUAUCAAAUUCUAAUAGAUCAUAUCAAUUACUUAUUCAUACAAUGUUUAUACAGGGUACAGCACUUAAAUCUUUUAAUCAUGGAAUUUACAUAAGAGUUUCUAACUUGUCUGAUAAUAUACAAGUAAUUAUUUGUUUUCAAAGGGCAGUGUUUCUAGUAAAAACACAAUCCCUCUUAUAAUCAAAAUUCUACUUACAGCUUGACCAAUAUAGUAACAAUCAAAAUGAAUAUACAUGUAUCGAUUUACUGAUCUGAGGUAUUAGUAUGAGGUGAUAGUUUUGCAGCAGCUGUAGAUCCAAAAUAAGUUAAACUUUAUUGUUUUGCAGAACCUUUCACCAUUGCUACAUUAAAGGCAAAUAAAAAACAGUGAGAAAUGAAAUUGCUAUCCAGUACAAGUACUCCCAAUGAUAAUGGUAUCAAACAAAUAAACAUCGAAUUUAUUACAAGUACAAGGCAGAGUUUUUCUAAGACAAACAUUACUUACAUGCAUGACUUCUUAAGUACUUC